rnacentral:rRNA from 1 species
AGACCCGAAACCCGGUGAUCUAGCCAUGGGCAGGUUGAAGGUUGGGUAACACUAACUGGAGGACCGAACCGACUAAUGUUGAAAAAUUAGCGGAUGACUUGUGGCUGGGGGUGAAAGGCCAAUCAAACCGGGAGAUAGCUGGUUCUCCCCGAAAGCUAUUUAGGUAGCGCCUCGUGAAUUCAUCUCCGGGGGUAGAGCACUGUUUCGGCAAGGGGGUCAUCCCGACUUACCAACCCGAUGCAAACUGCGAAUACCGGAGAAUGUUAUCACGGGAGACACACGGCGGGUGCUAACGUCCGUCGUGAAGAGGGAAACAACCCAGACCGCCAGCUAAGGUCCCAAAGUCAUGGUUAAGUGGGAAACGAUGUGGGAAGGCCCAGACAGCCAGGAUGUUGGCUUAGAAGCAGCCAUCAUUUAAAGAAAGCGUAAUAGCUCACUGGUCGAGUCGGCCUGCGCGGAAGAUGUAACGGGGCUAAACCAUGCACCGAAGCUGCGGCAGCGACACUGUGUGUUGUUGGGUAGGGGAGCGUUCUGUAAGCCUGUGAAGGUGUGCUGUGAGGCAUGCUGGAGGUAUCAGAAGUGCGAAUGCUGACAUAAGUAACGAUAAAGCGGGUGAAAAGCCCGCUCGCCGGAAGACCAAGGGUUCCUGUCCAACGUUAAUCGGGGCAGGGUGAGUCGACCCCUAAGGCGAGGCCGAAAGGCGUAGUCGAUGGGAAACAGGUUAAUAUUCCUGUACUUGGUGUUACUGCGAAGGGGGGACGGAGAAGGCUAUGUUGGCCGGGCGACGGUUGUCCCGGUUU